rnacentral:rRNA from 1 species
ACGCUGGCGGUAUGCUUUACACAUGCAAGUCGAACGGGCUUGGGGGCUUGCUCCCGGGUUAGUGGCGAACGGGUGAGUAAUGUAUCGGAACAUAUCCGGAAGUGGGGGAUAACGUAGCGAAAGUUACGCUAAUACCGCAUAUGCCCUGAGGGGGAAAGGGGGGGAUCGCAAGACCUCUCGCUUUCGGAGUGGCCGAUAUCGGAUUAGCUAGAUGGUGAGGUAAAGGCUCACCAUGGCGACGAUCCGUAGCUGGUCUGAGAGGACGACCAGCCACACUGGAACUGAGACACGGUCCAGACUCCUACGGGAGGCAGCAGUGGGGAAUUUUGGACAAUGGGCGAAAGCCUGAUCCAGCCAUACCGCGUGAGUGAAGAAGGCCUUCGGGUUGUAAAGCUCUUUCAGCCGGAAAGAAAUUGCACUUCUUAAUACGAAGUGUAGAUGACGGUACCGGAAGAAGAAGCACCGGCUAACUACGUGCCAGCAGCCGCGGUAAUACGUAGGGUGCGAGCGUUAAUCGGAAUUACUGGGCGUAAAGCGUGCGCAGGCGGUUUUUUAAGCCAGAUGUGAAAUCCCCGGGCUCAACCUGGGAACUGCAUUUGGAACUGGAAGACUAGAGUAUAGCAGAGGGGGGUAGAAUUCCACGUGUAGCAGUGAAAUGCGUAGAUAUGUGGAGGAAUACCAAUGGCGAAGGCAGCCCCCUGGGUUAAUACUGACGCUCAUGCACGAAAGCGUGGGGAGCAAACAGGAUUAGAUACCCUGGUAGUCCACGCCCUAAACGAUGUCAACUAGUUGUUGGGGGAGGAGACUUCCUUAGUAACGCAGCUAACGCGUGAAGUGACCGC